CCCGACUGCUAUCAGAGUGGGACUAAGCCAUGCGAGUCAACGUAGCAAUAUGUGGCAUACGGCUCAGUAACACGUAGUCAACAUGCCCAGGGGACGUGGAUAACCUCGGGAAACUGAGGAUAAACCGCGAUAGGUCAUCACUUCUGGAAUGGGUAAUGACUUAAACCUAUAUGGCCCCUGGAUUGGACUGCGGCCGAUCAGGCUGUUGGUGAGGUAAUGGCCCACCAAACCUGUAACCGGUACGGGCUCUGAGAGGAGGAGCCCGGAGAUGGGCACUGAGACAAGGGCCCAGGCCCUAUGGGGCGCAGCAGGCGCGAAACCUCUGCAAUAGGCGAAAGCUUGACAGGGUUACUCUGAGUGAUUUCCGUUAAGGAGAUCUUUUGGUACCUCUAAAAAUGGUGCAGAAUAAGGGGUGGGCAAAUCUGGUGU
rnacentral:rRNA from 1 species